AUCGAACGCUGGCGGCAGGCCUAACACAUGCAAGUCGAGCGAGCGGAGGACGGGUGAGUAAUGUCUAGGAAACUGUCUGAUGGCGGGGGAUAACUACUGGAAACGGUAGCUAAUCCCGCAUACCAUCAGAUGUGCCCAGAUGGGAUUAGCUAGUAGAUGGGGUAACGGCCCACCUAGGCGACGAUCCCUACCUGGUAUGAGAGGAUGACCAGCCACACGGGAACUGAGACACGGUCCAGACUCCUACGGAAGGCAGCAGUGGGGAAUAUUGCACAAUGGGCGAAAGCCUGAGGCAGCCAUGCCGCGUGUGUGAAGAAGGUCUUCGGAUUGUAAAACACUGUCAUCGGGGAAGCGUUACCCGAAGAGGAAGCACCGGCUAACUCCGUGCCAGCAGCCGCGGUAAUAC
rnacentral:rRNA from 1 species